rnacentral:rRNA from 1 species
GUGUCAGCAGCCGCGGUAAUACAGAGGUCUCAAGCGUUGUUCGGAUUCAUUGGGCGUAAAGGGUGCGUAGGCGGCGAGGCAAGUCUGGUGUGAAAUCCCGGGGCUCAACCCCGGAACUGCACUGGAUACUGCUUUGCUAGAGUACUGGAGAGGGAACUGGAAUUUACGGUGUAGCAGUGAAAUGCGUAGAUAUCGUAAGGAAGACCAGCGGCGAAGGCGAGUUCCUGGACAGUUACUGACGCUGAGGCACGAAGGCCAGGGGAGCAAACGGGAUUAGAUACCCCAGUAGUCC